rnacentral:piRNA from 1 species
UUCCAGCUAGAUAUACUUGAAUGUAUCUGU